rnacentral:rRNA from 1 species
AACGAACGCUGGCGGCGUGGUUUAGGCAUGCAAGUCGAGCGAGAAAGUCCUUCGGGACGAGUACAGCGGCGAAAGGGUGAGUAAUAUAUAGGUAACCUACCUCUUGGACUCGGAUAAUUCCUGGAAACGGGUUGUAAUACGAGAUCGUCCUAUUGGGUCGCAUGGCCCGACUGGUAAAUGGUAGCUCUGCUUCUGCCGAGAGAGGGGCCUAUAUCCUAUUAGCUAGUUGGUGAGGUAAUGGCUCACCAAGGCUUUGAUGGGUAGCCGGACUGAGAGGUUGGCCGGUCACACUGGGACUGAGACACUGCCCAGACUCCUACGGGAGGCUGCAGUCGAGAAUCUUCCGCAAUGGGCGAAAGCCUGACGGGGCUACGCCGCGUGAACG